AUUGAACGCUGGCGGCAUGCCUUACACAUGCAAGUCGAACGGCAGCACGGGAGCAAUCCUGGUGGCGAGUGGCGAACGGGUGAGUAAUGUAUCGGAACGUGCCCAGUCGUGGGGGAUAACGUAGCGAAAGCUACGCUAAUACCGAAUACGAUCUAUGGAUGAAAGCGGGGGAUCGCAAGACCUCGCGCGAUCGGAGCGGCCGAUAUCAGAUUAGGUAGUUGGUGGGGUAAAGGCUCACCACGCCGACGAUCUGUAGCUGGUCUGAGAGGACGACCAGCCACACUGGGACUGAGACACGGCCCAGACUCCUACGGGAGGCAGCAGUGGGGAAUUUUGGACAAUGGGCGCAAGCCUGAUCCAGCAAUGCCGCGUGCAGGAUGAAGGCCUUCGGGUUGUAAACUGCUUUUGUACGGAACGAAACGGCGAGCUCUAAUACAGUUUGCUAAUGGCGGUACCGUAAGAAUAAGCACCGGCUAACUACGUGCCAGCAGCCGCCGUAA
rnacentral:rRNA from 1 species